GACGAACGCUGGCGGCGCGCUUAACACAUGCAAGUCGAACGGAAAGGCCUGCUUUCCCUUGUGGAUUGCGGGUACUCGAGCGGCGAACGGGUGAGUAACACGUGAGUGAUCUGCCCCCAACUUGGGUAUAAGCCUGGGAAACUGGGUCUAAUUCCCGAUAGGACUGCAGGGUGGUGCCUGUGGUGGAAAACGAUUUUCUAGUGGUUGGGGAUGAGCUCGCGGCCUAUCAGCUUGUUGGUGGGGUAAUGGCCUACCAAGGCGGCGACGGGUAGCCGGCCUGAGAGGGUGGACGGCCACAUUGGGACUGAGAUACGGCCCAGACUCCUACGGGAGGCAGCAGUGGGGAAUAUUGCACAAUGGGCGGAAGCCUGAUGCAGCGACGCCGCGUGGGGGAUGACGGCCUUCGGGUUGUAAACUCCUUUCGACCGCGAGGAAGCCACCUGGUUGGAAGGGUGGUGACGGUAGUGGUAGAAGAAGCACCGGCUAACUACGUG
rnacentral:rRNA from 1 species